rnacentral:rRNA from 1 species
GUGACGCAAGGAACGGCGAACGGCUCAGUAAUACUGCGACGAUCUGCUCCGCGCGRCCGAUAACCACGGGAAACUGUGGCUAAGAGCGCGGAUUGAGACGCAGGCCUAUCAGCUAGUUGGCAGUGUAACGGACUACCAAGGCGGCGACGGGUGACGGGGGGUUGGGGCCCGAUUCCGGAGAGGGAGCCUGAGAGAUGGCUCCCACGUCCAAGGACGGCAGCAGGCGCGGAAAUUGCCCACUCUCGCGCGAGGAGGCAGUUACGGGGCGUGACGGAUGGGCGCACGGCAGACGUGUGCGCGAAGGCGAUUGGAGGGCAAGUUCGGUGCCAGCAGCCGCGGUAAUACCGACUCCAAGAGUGUCUACGGUGGAUGCUGCAGUUAAAAAGUCBGUAGUCGGGGGCUGCAACUAAAACGGCGGCGAUGGAUGGCGCAGGGGUUGCAGCGACUGGCGGAGCGGGCGGGGGGUGCGGUAUAGGCGGGCGAGAGAUGAAAUGGCCAAGACCCUGCCUGGACCGACGGCGGCGAAGGCGGCACCCCAGCACGCGUCUGCGGAUCAAGGACGAAGGCCGGAGGAUCGAAAGUGAUUAGAGACCGCUGUAGUUCCGGCAGUAAACGAUGCCGACACUAUGUAGUAUAUGGCUGCAUGGGGGGGAAACCUUAGUGUGCGGGCUCUGGGGAUAGUAUGCUCGCAAGUGUGAAAAUUGAAGAAAUUGACGGAGCUACACCACAAGGAGUGGAUUGUGCGGCUUAAUUUGACUCAACGCGGGGCACCUCACCAGGGCCCAGCGCGCCCGAGACCGCAUGCGCGAGGCGCGCAGCAGUGGUGCAUGGUCGUUGGAAAUGCGUGGGGCGACUUUUGGCUCAAGUGCCGGAACGGGUGAGAUCUCCGGGACGGGUGCGCGCAGCACAGGAGGGUGGAGGCGAUAACAGAUCAGUGAUGCCCUGAGAUGCCCUGGGCUGCACGCGCAAUACAGUCCUGGUAGCAGAGCGAAUCRGUCACCAGGCAUGGGAUCGCCGGCUGUAAGGGCGGCGUGAACGAGGAAUUCCUAGUAACGGCGGCUCACCAGGCCGCGGUGAAUGUGUCCCUGUAGCUUGUACACACCGCCCGNUCACUAUCUCAGAUGGCCGUGUCGG